rnacentral:rRNA from 1 species
UGGGGAAUUUUGGACAAUGGGCACAAGCCUGAUCCAGCCAUGCCGCGUGAGGGAAGAAGGCCUUCGGGUUGUAAACCUCUUUCGGGCGGGACGAAACGGGGCGCACGAAUAGUGCGUCUUACUGACGGUACCGCAAGAAGAAGCACCGGCUAACUACGUGCCAGCAGCCGCGGUAAUACGUAGGGUGCGAGCGUUAAUCGGAAUUACUGGGCGUAAAGCGUGCGCAGGUGGCUGUGCAAGCCAGGCGUGAAAUCCCCGGGCUCAACCUCGGAACUGCCUCUGAUACUGUUGGUCUUGAAUCCGGUAGAGGUGGGUGGAAUUCCUAGUGUAGAGGUGAAAUUCGCAGAUAUUAGGAAGAACACCGGUGGCGAAGGCGGCCCACUGGACCGGUAUUGACGCUGAGGUGCGAAAGCCAGGGGAGCAAACGGGAUUAGAUACCCUGGUAGUCCCUGAGCGGGCUGGCAAGGCGCAU